CGCGGAAUAGCAUAAAGGUAUUGCAAAAGUUUGCAAAACUUUUGGUGGCGGUUCGAUUCCGCCUUCCGCCU
rnacentral:tRNA from 2 species